UCAAAGCACAUUGUAAGUUUAAUUUUUUCUUAGUCGUGAUUAGUGAUAAAAAUCAAAAAUAAAAAAAGUUGACAGAAAGUGUAUUAAAAGUGCAUUAUGUGUUGCAACAAAAGUAUAUAUACGUAGAUAAGUAUAUAUAUAUAUACCUAAAUAAAACCAGGAGAUGUGGUCUGAUGCAGAGCUUAUGCCAUGUUCACAUAAGGCAAACAACAAAAAAACUGGUCGUAUAAACAGGCGCUGCGCGAAGUGAUCUUGGACCGCGUGGGACGUCGCCGAUACCAUCUUCAUUACAUUUUUAAACUCUUGUAACAAAAACUAAAUCUCUUCGUAGGCCUACAUAACAAUUGUUAUAUUUAUUAUUAUUACUAAAAAUUACUACAAAUUCGUAAUUCUUUUCAAAAAUCUAUCCUCAUACAAUCUUAUACCAUCAUUGUUAAUAUAAUUCAAAUAUACUAAUAUAACUGUAUUAUAUAUUAAAUUAUAUCUAUAUCUAAUAAAUACCAAACAACCAUUACAAAGCCUUUACAUCAGAAAUGGACAACUACUAUACCGAUGAGGAACUACAAAUCGCAUAUCAAUCAGCCACAAAUCCACACCAACCAUGCUUUAACCAACACUACAACACAUCACUGUCAUACCACACAUAUAUUAUCCCCAAGUACUAUCUCAUCCCAUAUACCAUAACAUGGGCAUAAUCUUCAUCCAUUUGCUUCAUCACCAAUAUUAAAUAUAACAAAUAUUGCCUCAAAUAUACCAAAAACCAUCAACAACAGAUCCAACAGUCCAUCUAAUACAAAUCCGACUACUACCACCACUACUAUAUUCACCACAGCACCAAUCACAGUAUCAUCCUUCAACAACUCAACACCACCUGUUCCAUCACAAUUAUUACAACCUAUAACUACAUCAAACGUAUCCGUGAACACAUCUGUUGUUGGAAACACCAAAAACACCAUUAUAAACCUAUCUACCUAUAUAUCGACUGUAGAAACAACUAUUGUACAAAAUACAUCUACAGGAUUAUUUACAUAUCUACAUACCUACCUAAUAUAGCUGUCAAUUCGAAUAUUUUAAAUAUUAAUAAUCCUGUAUCUUCAAAUAUCAAAUCUAAGAAUCAAGAAAUCCACAAAGAUUGUCAAAUCAACAUGUAACACCGCUAAAUUUCACAAUCCCUAACCAUCAUCCUCCUUUAUUAUCCUCUCUAUCUCCAAGACCUUCAUUACAGCCCUUCAUGGCUACCUUCAAAACGUCCUUGAAGCCACAGUUAUUCUCAUCCAUCCCAGAUGAAAACCUACUCACAACUUUAUAUCCACGUGCAAUCUCUCUUGGUUUCAAAAAUCUCGCAACUUUAACUGUACCUAUAGUAGCACAUAGUGUUGCUAUGAACAAUUACUAUGAUACAUACAUAGAAUCUCAUGAUCUCAUUGUAGAUCAGAAAUAGACGAGCACUAAAAAAAUUUCUACAGGUAAUGGAAAACCAUAGAACUCAAUCUCCCUUUCACCAAAUGUUGCUCCAUCU